UGAGGAACAUGACCUUCGGCGGGGGAUAGCCCGGCCCAACGGCCGGGUAAUACCGCGUACGACCUUCCGGGGACAUCCCUGGAUGGUGAAAGCAGCAAUGCGCCGAUGGAGUGCCUCGCGGCCUAUCAGCUAGUUGGUGAGGUAACGCUCACCAAGGCGACGACGGGUANCUGGUCUGAGAGGAUGGCCAGCCACAGUUGGGACUGAGACACCGGCCCAGACUCCGUACGGGAGCGAG
rnacentral:rRNA from 1 species